UGCUAGUGAUACCUCCAGGUGUGGGA
rnacentral:piRNA from 1 species